UUAUAGGUAGGGGAGCGUUCCGUUCUCGGGUGAAGUUUUCACGUAAGUGGGGAUGGACGGUACGGAAGUGAGAAUGUUGGCUUGAGUAACGAAAACAUUGGUGAGAAUCCAAUGCCCCGAAAACCUAAGGGUUCCUCCACUAGGUUCGUCCAUGGGGGGUUAGUCAGGACCUAAGGCUAGGCAAGUACACAAUUUGCGUCGUCGAUGGCAAACAGGUUAAUAUUCCUGUACUAAUUAAAUUAGGAUCUGAGGGACGAAGGAGGCUAAGCUGGAACUGUUUUUGGAUUGCAGUGGAAGCGUUUAGACGUUGAGAGAUCGAACAAAAACGAUCUUGAGUGGAGGCGUAAUCCCUACUUUUUGGUUCGCCAAAAAGUAGCUAGUGAUGUCAUACUUCCAAGAAAAGCUCAUACAUCUUUAUAAUUUAAUUACCUGUACCUGAAACCGACACAGGUAGGUUGGUAGAGAAUACUAAGGGGCGCGAGAGAACUCUCUCUAAGGAACUCGGCAAACUGGCCCCGUAACUUCGGAAGAAGGGGCGCCCAGGAUUCAUUUCUUGGGUCGCAGUGACCAGGCUCAGGCGACUGUUUACCAAAAACACAGGUCUCCGCAAAGUCGUAAGACAAUAUAUGGGGGCUGACGCCUGCCCAGUGCCGGAAGGUUAAGGAAGUUGGUUACUGUUAAAGGGAAGCUGACGACCGAAGCCCCGGUGAACGGCGGUCGUAACUAUAACGAUCCUAAGGUAGCGAAAUUCAUUGUCGAGUAAGUUUCGACCUGCACGAAAGGCGUAACGAUCUGAGCGCUGUCUCAGAGAGAGGCUCGGUGAAAUAGACUUGUCCCGUGAAGAUGCGGACUACCUACACCUGGACAGAAAGACCCUAUGAAGCUUGACUGUAUCUUGGAAUUGGGUUCGGGCUUUUCUUGCGCAGCCUAGGUGGGAGGCGUUGAAGAUUACCUUCCGGGGUAGUUGGAGCCAUCAGUGAGAGACCACUCUGGAAGAGCUAGAAUUCUAAUGGGGAUCCUUGAAUCAGGACCCUUGACAGUUUCAGGUGGGCAGUUUAUUUGGGGCGAAUACCUCCUAAAAGGUAACGGAGGUGUGCAAAGGUUCCCUCAGUCUGGACGGAAAUCAGACAUUGAGUGUAAAGGCAAAAGGGAGCUUGACUGCAAGACCUACAAGUCGAGCAGGGGCGAAAGCCGGCCUUAGUGAUCCGACGGUGCCGAGUGGAAGGGCCGUCGCUCAACGGAUAAAAGUUACUCUAGGGAUAACAGGCUGAUCUUCCCCAAGAGUUCACAUCGACGGGAAGGUUUGGCACCU
rnacentral:rRNA from 1 species